AGAUCUACACUUUCAGACCUCUACACUCUGGUGACAUGAUCACUGCUAACCCCCUGGCCAGCUGCCACCAUUCCUGAACUGCAGCCUCACGCUGGCUCCAGUCACUGCUGACCCCACCGUUUUGUGUGACACAGAACUGAAUAAAGCCAUGGUGGUGUCAGAGCCACAAUGGGGA